AUAAGAUCUGUUUGACAUCCAAGUGACGUGGUAACAUUGAUGCCUGAACUUGGGAAGAGGGACCCUUGUCAGAAGGAAGCCUGUGAAAUUCAGAAAUGUUUGCAAGCUAACAAGUACGUUGAGUCUGCGUGUGUGUCCGUGAUCAAUGCCAUGCGGCGAUGCUGUGAGAGGAAUGCUGGGAUGGAAUCGGUGUGCUGCUCAGGAUUUCAGAAGUCAAACUACCAGACAAACACAAAAUGUGAAGGCUCCUGAUCUUAUAGCUGCCGCACUGGACAUCCACAGCAGCUGAAUAUUUAGGUCAUUUGUCUCCAUGUACCAGGAUGUUGAUCUCUCUGUCUCCACCAUACUUGGUUCAGUCGUUGUUUUAGUUUCACAAGGAUGAAUAAAGACAUUGUGUGUGUCUU